rnacentral:tRNA from 1 species
GGAGAGAUGGCUGAGUGGUUGAAAGCACCGCACUCGAAAUGCGGCAUAGGGACAACCCUAUCGAGGGUUCAAAUCCCUCUCUCUCCGCCA